CCUACGGGAGGCAGCAGUAAGGAAUAUUGGUCAAUGGACGCAAGUCUGAACCAGCCAUGCCGCGUGAAGGAUGAAGGUCCUCUGGAUUGUAAACUUCUUUUAUAGGGGACGAAAAAAGAGAAUUCUUUCUCACUUGACGGUACCCUAGGAAUAAGCACCGGCUAACUCCGUGCCAGCAGCCGCGGUAAUACGGAGGGUGCAAGCGUUAUCCGGAUUUACUGGGUUUAAAGGGUGCGUAGGUGGGUCUGUAAGUCAGUGGUGAAAUCUCCGGGCUUAACCCGGAAACUGCCAUUGAUACUAUAGAUCUUGAAUACUCUGGAGGUAAGCGGAAUAUGUCAUGUAGCGGUGAAAUGCUUAGAUAUGACAUAGAACACCAAUUGCGAAGGCAGCUUACUACGGGGUUAUUGACACUGAGGCACGAAAGCGUGGGGAUCAAACAGGAUUAGAUACCCUGGUAGUCCACGCCCUAAACGAUGGAUACUCGACAUCAGCGAUACACUGUUGGUGUCUGNGNGAGANAUAUAUCCACCNGGAGAGANCGCAGAUAGAACUACAANAGAGUUAGAGGCGUGAGAGUGCGACGGACGACGACGAGGGAGGAGG
rnacentral:rRNA from 1 species